UACAGAGGUCUCAAGCGUUGUUCGGAUUUAUUGGGCGUAAAGGGUGCGCAGGCGGUAUGGUAAGUCUGGUGUGAAAUCCUGGAGCUUAACUCCAGAAUUGCACUGGAUACUGCCGUGCUAGAGGACUGGAGAGGAGAUUGGAAUUCACGGUGUAGCAGUGAAAUGCGUAGAUAUCGUGAGGAAGACCAGUGGCGAAGGCGAAUCUCUGGACAGUUCCUGACGCUCAUGCACGAAGGCCAGGGGAGCAAACGGG
rnacentral:rRNA from 1 species